CUAAGAUUUGAUUUGGAAUUUAGGAUUUUUCUAAGAUUUAUCUAGAAUUGUUUUUAGAAUUUAGGAUUCAUUUAGGGUUUGAUUAAGAAUUUAGAGUUUGUCUAAGAUUUGAUUUAGGAUUUAGGAUUUUUUUAGGAUUUGAUUUAAGAUUUAAUCAAGUUCCAUUAUUAUUUUAAUUAGAAUUAAAAUAGAACUUGAUUAAGCUUUAUUUAAAAUUUAUUUGAGAUUUCUCUAAUAUUUCUUUAGAAUUUUUUUAUAUUUUUUUUGUAAUUUCUUU
rnacentral:lncRNA from 1 species